rfam:Picea glauca, whole genome shotgun sequence.
ACAUGCCUACAGCAUAGCCUUAAUGCAUUGGAUCCCAUUAGAAAUCCAUGGUUAAGCAUGCUUGGGAUAGAGUAGUACUGGGAUGGUUGAACACCUAGGAAGUCCUAGUGUUUUACAUGCC